rnacentral:rRNA from 1 species
UACAGAGGUCCCGAGCGUUGUCCGGAAUCACUGGGCGUAAAGGGCGCGUAGGCGGCCUGAUAAGUAGGGGGUGAAAUCCUGCGGCUUAACCGCAGGGCUGCCUUCUAAACUGUCGGGCUAGAGCACGGUAGAGGCAGAUGGAAUUCCCGGUGUAGCGGUGGAAUGCGUAGAGAUCGGGAAGAACAUCAGUGGCGAAGGCGGUCUGCUGGGCCGUUGCUGACGCUGAGGCGCGACAGCGUGGGGAGCAAACAGG